rnacentral:rRNA from 1 species
GACAGAGGGUGCAAACGUUGCUCGGAAUCACUGGGCGUAAAGGGCGUGUAGGCGGGAAGGAUAGUCAGAUGUGAAAUCCCCAGGCUCAACCUGGGAACUGCAUUUGAAACUCCCUUUCUUGAGUAUCGGAGAGGAAAGCGGAAUUCCUGGUGUAGAGGUGAAAUUCGUAGAUAUCAGGAGGAACACCGGUGGCGAAGGCG